rnacentral:rRNA from 1 species
UACGUAGGCAGCGAGCGUUGUUCGGAAUUACUGGGCGUAAAGGGCUCGUAGGCGGUCUGUCACGUCGGGAGUGAAAACACGGGGCUUAACCCCGUGCCUGCUUCCGAUACGGGCAGACUAGAGGUAUGCAGGGGAGAACGGAAUUCCUGGUGUAGCGGUGAAAUGCGCAGAUAUCAGGAGGAACACCGGUGGCGAAGGCGGUUCUCUGGGCAUUACCUGACGCUGAGGAGCGAAAGUGUGGGGAGCGAACAGG